rnacentral:rRNA from 1 species
GCGACCUCAGUUCGGAUUGAAGGCUGAAAUUCGCCUUCAUGAAGUCGGAAUUGCUAGUAAUGGCAGGUCAGCAUACUGCCGUGAAUACGUUCCCGGGCCUUGUACACACCGCCCGUCACACCAUGAGAGUUGGAGAUACCCGAAGCCUAUGAGCUAACUUUUAGAGGCAGUAGUCGAAGGUAGAAUCAAUGAUUGGGGUGAAGUCGUAACAAGGUAGC